UACAGAGGGUGCGAGCGUUGUCCGGAAUCACUGGGCGUAAAGGGCGCGUAGGCGGCCUGAUAAGUAGGGGGUGAAAUCCUGUGGCUUAACUGCAGGGCUGCCUCCUAGACUGUUAGGCUCGAGCACGGUAGAGGCAGAUGGAAUUCCCGGUGUAGCGGUGGAAUGCGUAGAGAUCGGGAGGAACACCGGUGGCGAAGGCGGAUCUCUGGGCCUUGCCUGACGCUGAGGCGCGAAAGCUAGGGGAGCGAACAGG
rnacentral:rRNA from 1 species